rnacentral:hammerhead_ribozyme from 1 species
AUCCAGCUGACGAGUCCCAAAUGGAACAAAACGCUCCUCCUGGAU